rnacentral:rRNA from 1 species
UACGUAGGGUGCAAGCGUUGUCCGGAAUUAUUGGGCGUAAAGAGCUCGUAGGCGGUUUGUCGCGUCUGCUGUGAAAACUCGGGGCUUAACUCCGGGCCUGCAGUGGGUACGGGCAGACUAGAGUGCGGUAGGGGAGACUGGAAUUCCUGGUGUAGCGGUGAAAUGCGUAGAUAUCGAGAGGAACACCAGUGGCGAAGGCGAGUCCCUGGACAACACCUGACACUGAGGCACGAAAGCUAGGGGAGCAAACAGG